rnacentral:rRNA from 1 species
UACGUAGGGUGCAAGCGUUGUCCGGAAUUAUUGGGCGUAAAGAGCUCGUAGGCGGUCUGUCGCGUCGGCUGUGAAAACCCGUGGCUCAACCCCGGGCCUGCAGUCGAUACGGGCAGGCUAGAGUGCGGUAGGGGAGACUGGAAUUCCUGGUGUAGCGGUGAAAUGCGCAGAUAUCAGGAGGAACACCGGUGGCGAAGGCGGGUCGCUGGGCCGAUACUGACGCUGAGGAGCGAAAGCGUGGGGAGCGAACAGG